CUGGCACUGAUACGUUUAUCAUAGAACAAAAAUGACCAUCAUGGCUAGGCUUGCUGAACGUAAUAUCUUUUAAGAUAUUGAUAUUAUAAAUCAUAUCUUCAAUCGAUACUAUUAUUACAAUGAAACUAACAUGUCAUGAUAUACCAGCUAAUGCUCUUUUGCCAUUCUGUUUUAUUCCUCAAUGAAGUAUUUUUGUUUCCAGUUCUUAGAAUUUAUGCAUUUAGAGGUUUAUUUGUAGAAGUAAAGACAAGGCAAUAUUACAAUACAAGGUUGUGCACGUUGCCUGUAUUUUGUACAAAGACGUCGCGAUUGUUUUUAAACCUCUACGAUGGUCCAAACUAUGAGCACAAACUUAAAACCCGAUUAAAAACAAUUAUAGACGCUGGAGACACGCAAACAUUCAUUCCGUGUCCAAUGUUACACUAAACAGAUAAAAAAAAAGUCGAAAACACCUGCGCAAAAAUUAUUUGUUUGUAUUCAUUCAUCAUUUGCUGAAUGGAUAUUUUCAAGUGCUUCGUUUUAGUGCUCUCAGAAAUUUACGUUUGUUUCGGGUUGAAUUUCGUAGGAUUACCGCUGACAAAAGUCCAAGGGCUCGCGUGUGGUAUGCGCUUACAAUAAUUUGACAGGUAUCACGGACCGCUGGCGCGUUUACAGAUUUCCAAAGAUGACGUUCGGACCCCAAGUUAGCUAUUUUAAUCCAUAGCCCAUCAAACGCGUGUUGCGAAUCAAAUUUUAACCAUGUUUUUGUGUUAUUUCAGGCCGAUCAAUGUACUGGUCUCCAAGGUUUUUUAAUCUUCCAUUCUUUCGGUGGUGGCACGGGAUCUGGAUUCUCCUCACUUUUGAUGGAACGUCUGUCUGUUGACUACGGCAAGAAAUCCAAGCUGGAGUUUGCCAUCUACCCAGCUCCUCAGAUCUCCACCGCUGUGGUUGAGCCCUACAACUCCAUCCUGACCACCCACACAACCCUGGAGCACUCUGACUGUGCCUUCAUGGUAGACAACGAGGCCAUCUAUGACAUCUGCCGCCGUAACCUGGACAUCGAGAGACCCACCUACACCAACCUGAACCGUCUUAUGGGUCAGAUUGUGUCCUCAAUCCGAACCGGGACGCGGAUAUUGCCGUUCGCGGCAGAUGCGGUAACGCAAACGAACCCGAAGACGCUGGCGGGGGCCCUGGGAAGAGUUCUCUUUUCUUUUUAACGAGCUUUCACCCUGAAAUCAGCUUGCCUGGAGAUAGGGUUUAAUGCUCGGUAAAGCACCACACUUCUUGUGGUGUCCGGUGCGCUCUCGACGGCCCUUGAAAAUUCGGGGAAGACAUUGAUUUUCGUGUCCGGUCGUACUCAUAACCGCAGCAGGUCUCCAAGGUGAGCAGCCUCUGGUUGAUAGAACAAUGUAGGUAAGGGAAGUCGGCAAAAUAGAUCCGUAACUUCGGGAAAAGGAUUGGCUCUAAGGGUUGGUCUGUCGGGCUGAGACUUGAA
rnacentral:ncRNA from 1 species